GUCCGGUUAGCUCAGUUGGUAGAGCAGCUGCCUUACAAGCAGAUUGUCGGCGGGUUCGAUCCCGUCACCGGAUACCA
rnacentral:tRNA from 2 species